CAGGUGCUCAAUCAUUGUUUUCAAUUCAAAAUGGUCAAGAAAUACAGAGGAGGUCCAUCUCUCCCUCCUUCCGAGGUACUGAUUUGCUAUAGUCGGAAGAGUCUUCGGACUCUUCACCCAGACAGACUCCCAUCCUCAGUAUUCAUUCAACAGUAUGACUUACAUCCUGCUGAAGAUGGAAAUCCACUGCUCUGAGAGAUGCUGAAUGCUUAGUGUUGGAAGUGUCUUUGAAACCAACAUUUCUACCCUCGCCCAGAAUAGACUCCGUUCUUCAACGUUCAUUCAAUUCUUUUAACAAUAUGGCUAAUAUACUCCUGGAGAUGGAAAACCACUGCUGUGAGAGGACUCAACCAGAAUACUGUCAUCCAGACUAUUGGCUGUUCUCUUGGCUGUAUUUGCUACCUUCUAAAUGAAAAUUUGCUGAAAGCAGUUUUGAUGAAGACGUACGUGAUGAGGAUGAGAGAGAGAACCUGCAGUUGAGCAGACACAUACACUUUGAGCUACAUAAUUAUUUCUCAGUGGGGACAACUGCAGUUGGAUGCCAGAUCUGAGCAGCAUGGGGCCAGGGGGCUUGA